rnacentral:tRNA from 1 species
CGGUGAUUAGCGCAGUCUGGUAGCGCAUCUGCUUUGGGAGCAGAGGGUCGCAGGUUCGAAUCCUGCAUCACCGACCA